GUCUCAAUAGCUCAGUGGUUAGAGCACUGGUCUUGUAAACAAGGGGUCCGGAGUUCAAAUUUAUUUUCCGUGAAAACU